rnacentral:rRNA from 1 species
GACGAACGCUGGCGGCGUGCUUAACACAUGCAAGUCGAACGGAAAGGCCCUGCUUUUGUGGGGUGCUCGAGUGGCGAACGGGUGAGUAACACGUGAGUAACCUGCCCUUGACUUUGGGAUAACUUCAGGAAACUGGGGCUAAUACCGGAUAGGAGCUCCUGCUGCAUGGUGGGGGUUGGAAAGUUUCGGCGGUUGGGGAUGGACUCGCGGCUUAUCAGCUUGUUGGUGGGGUAGUGGCUUACCAAGGCUUUGACGGGUAGCCGGCCUGAGAGGGUGACCGGCCACAUUGGGACUGAGAUACGGCCCAGACUCCUACGGGAGGCAGCAGUGGGGAAUAUUGCACAAUGGGCGGAAGCCUGAUGCAGCAACGCCGCGUGCGGGAUGACGGCCUUCGGGUUGUAAACCGCUUUCGCCUGUGACGAAGCGUGAGUGACGGUAAUGGGUAAAGAAGCACCGGCUAACUACGUGCCAGCAGCCGCGGUGAUACGUAGGGUGCGAGCGUUGUCCGGAUUUAUUGGGCGUAAAGGGCUCGUAGGUGGUUGAUCGCGUCGGAAGUGUAGUCUUGGGGCUUAACCCUGAGCGUGCUUUCGAUACGGGUUGACUUGAGGAAGGUAGGGGAGAAUGGAAUUCCUGGUGGAGCGGUGGAAUGCGCAGAUAUCAGGAGGAACACCAGUGGCGAAGGCGGUUCUCUGGGCCUUUCCUGACGCUGAGGAGCGAAAGCGUGGGGAGCGAACAGGCUUAGAUACCCUGGUAGUCCACGCUGUAAACGGUGGGUACUAGGUGUGGGGUCCAUUCCACGGGUUCCGUGCCGUAGCUAACGCUUUAAGUACCCCGCCUGGGGAGUACGGCCGCAAGGCUAAAACUCAAAGGAAUUGACGGGGCCCCGCACAAGCGGCGGAGCAUGCGGAUUAAUUCGAUGCAACGCGUAGAACCUUACCUGGGUUUGACAUGGAUCGGGAGUGCUCAGAGAUGGGUGUGCCUCUUUUGGGGUCGGUUCACAGGUGGUGCAUGGCUGUCGUCAGCUCGUGUCGUGAGAUGUUGGGUUAAGUCCCGCAACGAGCGCAACCCUUGUUCACUGUUGCCAGCACGUUAUGGUGGGGACUCAGCGGAGACCGCCGGGGUCAACUCGGAGGAAGGUGGGGAUGACGUCAAGUCAUCAUGCCCCUUAUGUCCAGGGCUUCACGCAUGCUACAAUGGCUGGUACAGAGAGUGGCGAGCCUGUGAGGGUGAGCGAAUCUCGGAAAGCCGGUCUCAAUUCGGAUUGGGGUCUGCAACUCGACCUCAUGAAGUCGGAGUCGCUAGUAAUCGCAGAUCAGCAACGCUGCGGUGAAUACGUUCCCGGG